AAGGAUGAAGCUUAUACCUCAAGCAUUUAACUGUUAAUUAAAAGACAGCACUUAGUGCCUUCCUUU
rnacentral:tRNA from 1 species